rnacentral:lncRNA from 1 species
CCCGGGCGGUGGUGCUGGCCCUGCCCUUGGAGGACUCCAGGGGUCGCGGCCCUGACCCGCCUGCUCCGCCUUGCGGAGGAGUAGGGCAGCGGUGGCGGGGAGGCUCCUGAGUGAGAGGGCUAGGAUGUGUUCAUGUGAGGGUCCGAAGGUUAAAGUAAUAUAAAAAAUAAGGGUUCUGCACCCCUGGGAUGGAAUCAGAGGCGAGGACCUUGGGAAGCUGAGGAAGAGGAGGCAGCAGGAGGUGUGGGAAGCAGAGGGCCCACAGCUGUCCUGUCUGGAGGGCCAGGCAGGAGGGAAGGGACCCUGGGGAAGGAUCAGUCCCAAAAAUGGGUUAGAACACUAAAUUAUCCUCAGAAUAAAGAAGAAAGGGCAAGUCGAGGUCAGGUUGUGAAUGAAUCAUUCAGAGCUAACAGUUGAUGAGGUAAAAUGAUACAGCAACUUCUCAACUUGGUGAGAUCAAUUUUUUGAAACUCCAUUGGCAUUAGAAGGACAAAUGUAUGUCCUCGGGUGUGGGCUGCAGGGAUGUAAUCUGUCUUUUCAAUGCACUUGAUGAUGAAUACAAGCUUUUUUCUGGUUUUCUGCUAACAACUAUUACUUGACUUUUCAAAUUUACCUCAAGACUUUCUUCAAUUAUGUGUUUUGAUGUUACACAUUAGAGUUUCUAAAGAAGCAGUAGAGAUGUUUUGCCUCUCAGCUAUUUGUGCUGCAGAAGGGCAAUUAAACUGGGAAUACUUAUGGUGAAG